ACUGCUAACAUAGCUUCAUCUCUUCAAAAGACAAGACAACAGGUAUCUUCCACCAAGAUGUCUGUUGAAAUGGAAAUGACCUUACCCACUACACCAAGGGUAAUUAUGCUUGGAAAUAGCUUGAUGUCUGCAACCCGGUGGAUGGUCAGUAUGGAG